CUCCUACUAUGUAUUUAUAGAUUAGAUAAACUCUAGCCCAUAUUUUCCUGUUCAUUCAGCUGCAGAGUUGCAUGAAUUAUCUAGACUAGGG